rnacentral:snoRNA from 1 species
GGUCUGUGAUGAAUAGUAAAAGGUCUGAUUAUCCUAAGACUUGUACUUCCAUGACCUUUUCUCCCAGCAGUUUCUCACCAGUCACAGCACAGUAAUGGUGUGACUGGCAAGAGUGUUUGCUGACAGCUUGUGAUGCAUUCCGCUCAUGUUAACCUGAAGUACUGGAGACAUGACUGGGGUCAGCAUCCAACAGUCCCACUUGAAGGAGUUUGGGAUCUUGGAUUGUUAUAACUGGGCAUGUGAUCUGACUUUUCUGCUGAGACC